rnacentral:rRNA from 1 species
CACGUAGGGGACGAGCGUUGUCCGGAUUCAUUGGGCGUAAAGCGCGCGUAGGCGGCUCGGAAAGUCGGUCGUGAAAUGCCGGGGCUCAACCCCGGGACUGCGUCCGAUACUCCCGAGCUGGAGGCAGGUAGGGGGAGAUCGGAAUUCCUGGUGUAGCGGUGAAAUGCGCAGAUAUCAGGAGGAACACCGGUGGCGAAGGCGGAUCUCUGGGCCUUGCCUGACGCUGAGGCGCGAAAGCUAGGGGGAGCGAACAGG